GACGAACGCUGGCUGCGUGCUUAACACAUGCAAGUCGAACGCUGAAGCCCCAGCUUGCUGGGGUGGAUGAGUGGCGAACGGGUGAGUAACACGUGAGUAACCUGCCCCUGACUUCGGGAUAAGCCCGGGAAACUGGGUCUAAUACCGGAUACGACUAUCGGACGCAUGUCUGGUGGUGGAAAGUUUUUUCGGUGGGGGAUGGGCUCGCGGCCUAUCAGUUUGUUGGUGAGGUAAUGGCUCACCAAGACGACGACGGGGAGCCGGCCUGCGAGGGCGAACGGCCACACUGGGACCGAGAGAAGGCCCAGAGUCGUGCGGGAGGCAGCAGGGGGGAAUAUUGCACAAUGGGGGAAACCCUGAGGCAGCGACGCAGCGUGCGGGAUGACGGCUUUCGGGUGGUAAACAGCUUUCAGCAGGGAAGAAGCCUUCGGGUGACGGUACCUGCAGAAGAAGUACCGGCUAACUACGUG
rnacentral:rRNA from 1 species